AUUGAACGCUGGCGGCAGGCCUAACACAUGCAAGUCGAGCGGUAACACAGGGAGCUUGCUCCUGGGUGACGAGCGACGGACGGGUGAGUAAUGUCUGGGAAACUGCCUGAUGGAGGGGGAUAACUACUGGAAACGGUAGCUAAUACCGCAUAACGUCGCAAGACCAAAGAGGGGGACCUUCGGGCCUCUUGCCAUCAGAUGUGCCUAGAUGGGAUUAGCUAGUAGGUGGGGUAAUGGCUCACCUAGGCGACGAUCCCUAGCUGGUCUGAGAGGAUGAACAGCCACACUGGAAGUGAGACACGGUCCAGACUCCUACGGGAGGCAGCAGUGGGGAAUAUUGCACAACGGGCGCAAGCCUGAUGCAGCCAUGCCGCGUGUAUGAAGAAGGCCUUCGGGUUGUAAAGUACUGUCAGCGGGGAGGAAGGUGUUGAGGUUAAUAACCUCAGCAAUUGACGUUACCCGCAGAAGAAGCACCGGCUAACUCCGUGCCAGCCGCCGCGGUAA
rnacentral:rRNA from 1 species